GUAAACAGGAGUAUCUGGGGACCUGGGAAGAUCCAAUCUGUAUCUGGGGACGAAGAGGGACUGCUGCAGAGUUCUCGUCCCAUCCGUAAGGUCUUUGGUCUCCUUCAAACUCCCGGAGGUUUGCCCUCUGAGCAGUUGAUACCUUCUGUAAUACGACCAUCUAAAUCUGUCCAUGGAAAUUCUGUACGGGCCUGUGUUUGUCCCCCCCCGCCCCGCCCCGGUGCUGCGCAGUCUCCUCCCUGCCCCGGUUCCGCCCCUUGGGCCAGUUCCUCAUGGUGCCUCGCCUUGGCCCAGCGCCUAGUAGCCGACUUAGAACUGGUGCGGACCAGGGGAUUCCAACUGUUUAAUUAAAACAAAGCAUAGCGAGGGCCGGUGGCGGGUGUUGUUGCAAUGUGAUUUCUGCCCAGUGCUCUGAGUGUGAUAGUAAAGAAAUUCAGUGAAGUGUGGAGAAGCCAGCGGGAGCCCUGAGGGCCAGCUGCGGCAUCCGGUGAGCUCUUGCUGGCCCUCAAAAAUCCGGGGAAGAGGGUGUAAAUCUCUCGCCAGGCCAUGCCCAUAUCCGCAGCAGGUCUCCAAGGUGAACAGCCGUCUGGCAUGUUGGAACAAUGUAAAUGUUAAAA
rnacentral:ncRNA from 1 species